AUAUUUUAAACAGUCACUUGACUCUGCUGUUCCCCCUUCCUCCCUAUUUUCCAAUGGCAAACUUCUGGUUUGCAUUCCACUUCCAGUAACCGCUCGUCGCCAUGUUCUUCUCCUUCUCUAGCUGCUUCGCCCCUAUCCCUAGAAAUGAUGAAGAUGUUGAUGUGUAUAAAUUCUAGUUGGGUCUAUAAUAUCACAUAUGUAUAUGGGUGUCACUUUUCAAUUGUCUUAAGAACUAAAUGAGGAGACAUUUCAUUGAGAAACAUGAAAUGAGAUUGAGAUUUCUAAGGGUCAUUUGCUCAUUUCUGCAACCCUUGUAGUUGUCCUAUUAAUAUAUCACGCUUUAUGAAAAUACAUAGGAAUAUCAAGCUGGUUUUCAUAUCAAAA